rnacentral:tRNA from 1 species
CCCUUUAGCUCAGUUGGUAGAGCAUGGUGUUUGCAACGCCAGGGUUAUGGGUUCGAUUCCCACGGGGG